rnacentral:rRNA from 1 species
UAACACGUAAACAACCUGCCUUCAGGAUGGGGACAACAGACGGAAACGACUGCUAAUACCGAAUAAGUUCCAAGGGCCGCAUGGCCCAUGGAAGAAAAGGUAGGCCUCUACCUGUAAGCUAUCGCCUGAAGAGGGGUUUGCGUCUGAUUAGCUGGUUGGAGGGUAAGGCCCACCAAGGCGACGAUCAGUAGCCGGUCUGAGAGGAUGAACGGCCACACUGGAACUGAGACACGGUCCAG